rnacentral:lncRNA from 13 species
AUGUUAAUUUCCGCUCAGGGCUGGCAGCGUUGUGAGUCCUGGGCCCGUGUGUGGGACCCUGCCGCGGCUGGGAGCGGCGGAAGGGAGCGCGAAUUUGAAUUUCAAAGGCAACUCGGGCCCAAGUGCGUCUGCGUUGCGCGAUUGUGUGUGCGGUGCUUUUGUGUGUCCGCGAAUACGCGCCUGCGUGUGUGGCGUGUGUCGGGGUGUUUUGUGACUGUACUCCGUGAGGCCGUGUGCGAGCCCUGGCUUGGGCUGUGUGGCAGGGAGCGCGGUGUCGUGGGUCGCCUGUUGGUGUGUCUGUGCGUGCUUGUGCGCAAGCCUUUGCCUCUGCAAGUGCGUAUUUUUAGGACCGAGUCUGUGUAUUUGAACCUGUGUCUGUGUAUGUCGUCGUGCCCGGCCCUGUGUGUUUCUGUGCGCGUCUGCCGGGGCGCGUGUGUGCUCGGACCCCCGCGGGGGGUGUGCGGGUGUGUCCGUGUGUCUGUGCACGUGCAGGCGAGCGUUCCCAUCUGUGUGUGUGCAUCCCAGUCUGGGCUAUAUAUGACUCAGGGACGAGUCUCUGAGCCUGCCUGUGCCCUUGUGUGUCCGUGUUCUGGCCAAUGCAUGUGUGUGCUUGGGUGUCUGUGUCGUGGUGUGCCCUGCAAGGGUUUGCACCUGCAAGUGCUGGAGUGUGAGUGUGUAGCUGUGGGAAUGAGUGUGUGUGAGUGUGCAGAAGGGUGCCACGCCAGGGAGCGCGGGGGCCGAGGGCUAAGCAGCCCCUGUGUCCCCCAACAGCCAGUACCGCCCACCCACUGCGCACUGUGUGCCCGCCCCGCGAGGGCCUUCUCUGGGCUCUGGGAGGGGGCUGAGCAAACGGCCCUUUCCUCCCAGGCACCCCGGGCCCACCGCCAGCAUUGGGCACAUCCGCCCCUUCCUCCAGCGGCCCCGCUCAGUGACCCACGGGCAUUCAAUGGGCACUCGGGAGGCAAUGGCUGGAGAGGAUGGGCCGUUAGCGGGAGGGACCCAGCGGCGCCGGCUGCACACUCUCGCUCUGCUGAGGGCUUGGGGGCAGCUCAUCUGUCUUGGGCAAUGGGCCUGCUAGCUGUGAGAGCUUCCCUGUCUUGUGGCUGA